UGGUGGACUCACCUGACUCUGUGGUGCCAGUGAAGGUGACGAGGAUGACGAGUGAACACAGAGCUGCGAUGAGAAACACUUUCCUGGCUGCCAUGGUUGGUCGGUCGGUGCUGUCGCUCUGCAGGUCUCAGUCAGUGUGAAGCUGAAGAGGUAUGAAGUGCCUGAAGGCAUUCAGUGAGAGUGUAACUGAUACCGUACGCCGCUUGUUCCUUAAGUAGGACGCUUCUGGGAUUUUCCCCUGUUGGGCAGGAUUGUGUAAUGCCAUGUGCUAUUGUUGAAAUCGUGGAAACAAGCCAGGAAACGAGGCAAGGUACACCUGCUGACUUCCAGCCUCCAGGUGGAAGGAAGUAAAGCAGAAAAUAACACAACUAGUGGAACUAUAAACUUAGCUGAGCUCAGAUUUCAUGGUAAAAACAUGAAAGUCUCAAGCAAGGUGAUCACUAUUAAUCUUUAAUCUCUAUAAUCUGUCAUUGUAAUGGUCAGCUCGAAGAAAAUUUGGCCUUAACUUGACUGGAAAGAGGGACUUUCCUUGAACUUUGUUAAUUUUAAUCUGCUGAUCUUUGGCCAGUGGACAAAUGGUCAACCUGGUCUCCUGCAGCUACCAGAUUUCUCGCAAAAAAUACAACACAGUGAUCCACUGUUAACAGAAUUAGCACUGUAGCUAAAGACUGAUUUUUUUUAACCAUGUAAGAAGGGUACCAACUUUUGUACAGGAUGGGACAGAAUCAAGCAUACAAAUAAAUUCAUACCAUAAACCAGGUGAUGAUGUAUGAAUGUUUGAAGAGAAAUGUUCUAGAAAUUUAGAGAAGCUAAAACAAGGCAAAGACCAAAAAAAGCCACUCUUGUUUUUGCUUUUCUGCAAUAAUGUGAAUAUACUUUAAGACUGAAGUAGGUAGUUUUCUCUGGAAACCAGUGUUGGAUAGCCUAAUGGAUGUUUGUGUUGCCUGUUGUGUUAUUCUAUCUCUUUUUCUUCAACUGUUAGUCAUUUAUGUGCAGAAUCUUUCAUGUGUACAACCAAAUACUAUCUAUAGGCCAAAUCUGGAAGUAUCACACUAAUUAAAAAAAAAACCCAAAACAUUCUAAUUCUUGCAAAAAAGUUUUUAAGUUUGCUCAAAGUUCAUUUUUAACUUAUUCGAAAAGGAGUUUGCUUCUUGGGAGAUGAAAAGGCCAAUUUCUGAAUACGUUUUGAUGUAGUAAACAUUUAACUGACACAACUGAUUGGCUGCUUCCGCUUCUUUAGGUAACUCCAAAAAGCAUGAAACAUAGUCAAUACAAGCUGAAAUGUAAGAAUAAUUACAACUUUCCUGAUCAAAAAUGAUUCUUGAAGACUUCUGUCCAUUUUUCUCUUGCAUAUGGGCUAAAUAUUGUUUGUUUCUUCUAUUUCUUUGAAGUUUUUUGGCCGCUGCAACCAGCUGGGUUUUAUUUCCACCAUUCUUCUGUUUUUUUACAGCUAUGUAAAACAUAGUCCAUACGACCACCCUCUGAUGAUACUGUGCAGCGUAGUUUAAUGCAAUGCAUGAAAACAAGCCUAAUUUUCAAAAUUUCAAAAGUUUACCUCAAACUGACUUGGAAAUAACACGCAAACUUACAAAUGGUAAAUGUCCUGAUGGAAAAAUUGGCUGAAAAUUUAAAAUGUUUGUUGGUUUUUGUAAACAGUUUUAUGUCCUUAACCUCACUUCCACUCUUUACAAUGAGUGUUCAGAGUCCCUUAAGGUUUGGUGGAAUCAUUAAGCUCUGCAGGUGUUUUUAGCCACUUUUCGCUCAUUGUUUUGACCCCAACUGCAGUCAUUCUGAACAAAAAUGGUAAUAAAUCCAACAUACACUUCCUGUCCAGCAACACAAGCAGGCAGACAGCUAGCUAGCUAGGGAAUAUUAGCAUCUAGUUGGCUAAAAAUCAAGCUGUUCUUCUGAUUAACCGGUGGAGACCAAAAUGGAGCUUAAGAGAAUGAAAGUUGGACUUUUGCGGCCAAAACCAUGAAUCACUGCUACUGUCACUCCUUGUUUGCUGGAUUUUGAAACAAGAUUUCUAUUUUUAGAAAAAAAAAAGGAUUGGCUCAUUCUGUAAAUGAUCAAACCUAAGAGCAUACCAUUAAAUGUCACUUGAACCAUGACAAGAAGUAAUAAAAGACGCCCAGCUGGAACGCAUUUUUCUUUUUAUGUUCAUGAACAAGUAUUAAAUAACUAUCUCUCUGGCAGCAGUGGAAUUUCAUCUGUGGGGGUUUUGUGAUGUAGAAAUGAACACCACAUGUAAGAGACAAAGUGAUAUCUGAGGAUACGAGGGUCAGGUAAGUUUAACAUGACUCUUCAGCGUGUGACAUGACACUAAAUCUGGAAAAACCUCCUGUACAGCGCGUGUGAAAAGGACCUAGAACUGUUUAAAAAUCAGCUGUAUUUAUCUCAGAGAUGCAUAGUUUAGAUAACAAUGUGUGAGCAAAGAUGGGAAAAGACAACAGAGGCGUUCUGCAGAAAGUCCCUCAGCUCAGUCAUCAGCUAAGUCCACUCUGUGAUGAAUUUAUUUUAGCCUGCUGCUGAGUGAAAUGGGACUCCAUUUCACUAUUUUAGGAAUUUAUCAGGAGUUUAUUUUUCUUUUUUAUCGCCUUCCACCCUGAAUGUCCUUGAACAGGCUGUUCAAUUCUGUCUGAGCCGUUUAAAAAUGCAACCGAAACCAUUUUUUGAAGGUUGCAAAGCUGGUGAUAAGGAUAAAAAGAAUUACUAUGUUUCACCUUUUUCUGCAAACACCAACAUUUUAGAAAAGGCUGAAUGUCGCCUGAUGUCACUUUUUUAAAUAAACAAUGAUAAACAGCAAUUCUCUCUGCAAUUGGUGCAAUAAAUCAUCACAUUCGUAAAAAAUCAGUUUGUUGUUCAACAAGGAGAGGAAUGCAACCAACAUAAAUAUCAUUCAAACACUCUGAAUACAUCUGCAAAUGACAGAUUUGGGUUUUUGAUUUUUUAAGAAAUUUGGAAAAAAAUUCUAAAACCAUGUUUUCACUUAGUGAUUGUGGAUUAUUAUUAUCGGUAAAACAUCACGUUUAGCCAUUUAAACCACAAUGGAACACAAAAUAACCACAAAGAGAACAAAAAAAAGAGACACAAACAAAUACAAGAAAAAAAACACUAUAAAGCUUCAUAGGGAGGAAAGGAACACGAAAACACACAAAAUGGCCACAACCACAAACAGACACAAGUCAACUACUGAAACAAAAUGACCACAAGAGAACCAAAACGACCAAAAUGAUACACAAGACAACCACAGACUUAAAAACCAACUACAGAGACACACAAUGACUACAAGAAGACACAAAACAACUGCAAAAACACACAUGUAAGUCAGAGACAUAAAAUGACCACAAAGAUGCGCUUAACAACUACAAAGAGACACAAAACUAUGAAUGAUCCAGAGAGAAAACGACCCAAAAGCACUGUUCCCGCUAAGCUGCGCGCAUGCACAAUUGAGCACUGCUGACACGCUCUCCGCGCACAGAAAUCUGCGCUGUGCACACACACAAAAAAUCCAACCUAAAUUGAAAAUAAAAUAAACAUGUAACAAUUCAUUCUGUGCUAUUUUUCAGUGUGAGUCAGUGAGUGAUCGGUGACUGGCUGCUGCAGCCAAUGAUGCGAUUCACAUACGUAUUUACCAUAGACUGUAUAUAAUGGUAUUUACGCAGCUAAUCAACGUCAUUGACAGGCGUCCUUAUGUGCAGCCAUCGUUGUUGUCAUAGUUAUGAAUGAGUAGAUAGGACACGCCCCUUUGAGCUGCGUGCUACAGCGAGGCUAAGCUAGUGGGGGCAAAGUUUCAGUGCAUUCCGUUGAUGUAGACGGCGUGAAAAUGGAAACAAGAAGUAUGCCGGCUCACUGUGCUGCAUACAAUUACACACUACGUCGUACGAUUGAGACAAGGAAACUUGGAAUGACUUUUCAUAGGUAAGAAUAGUUUUGGGCUCUUUUUUCAUUAUGAAAUCUUGUUGAGAGCUUCCAGUUUAUGAGAGCUAACUAGUUAGCCACUAGCAAAACACUUAGCCCUUGUCCACACGUAGCCGGGUAUCUCACAAAACGAAGAUAUUUUUCUACGAUUCGGCCUAUCAUCCACACGAAAACUCAGAUUUACGUCAUCAAAAACGAUUCUUUUUAAAAACUCCGACCAAAGUGAAGAUUUGCGAAUUCUCUGUUUUAUGCGUCUGCAUGUGGACAUCGGUAACCGGGGUUUUGCGUUUCGAAACGUCACCGCCUGCGACAAAAUAUGUUCUUACCUCACAUAUGCGACCUGUGUUUACAUUCGGUAACAGUAUGGAUGCUCUCAAGGUUUUGGGCGCUGUUUCUUGUACAGGCGCUUUUUACUUGCUUGUUUUUACAAGCCCAGAUACUGCUCCACAUUCAACAACACAGGCGAAGGACGUUAAGGACGGUUAUUCUCCACCACCUUGCUAGGAUUUGGGGAACUACUGCCACCUAAAGGUCCGGCAUGCUUAUGAAUGUGCUGAAAAAGGCACUUAUGCGGUUAGGUGUGGAUGAAGGCGAGCUAGCAGCUUGACAAGCAAAUACCAGACGAUUAAUAGUAGCUGUAGUAGUUGUACAAGCAGUAGUAGUAAUACUAAAAGUACAAGCAGCAGUAGUAGUAUAAACAGCUGUUAGAGUCGUAGAAGUAGUAUCAGCAUUUGUAAUAGUAUUACAAGUUGUAGUAGCAGUGCCAGUAUCAGCAGCAGUAGUUAGUACUACCACUACUAUUAGUAGUAGUCACAUUGCUAUUACUACCACCAAUACUACCAAUAGUAGUUAUAAAGCCUAACUCAUGUAUAUCCAGAUUACCAUCUAUGUUCUUCCUCCAAACCCAUUUUAUGAUUGGGAUUACAGGCAGUUCUUUAGGACUGCUCUCAAAUAAUGUUACUAAACAAGGUUAUACUUAUCAAAUUAAAUAGCUCUGGUCUCCAGUAUAUUGGCUAAUUCGGUUCUUUGUACUGAAUUUAUUAGCAUGAUUUCUUUUUAAUAUGUUGUGUACAGACUUAAUUACUUGUCUGUCUACUUUUCUUACUCCAUGUAGGUUUCCCAGAGACUAUGGGUUGAGGAGGAAGUGGAAGUUUGUCGGCUUAGACCUGGUGUCAUUCCAUCAGUGUUAAACUUCCCGACUCAUCUUGGAAGAGUAUGUGCCAGAAAGACCACGACCAAGCAGCCUUGAGAUCUUAGACAGCGUCUCCCUCAGGUCCCUCUCUAUCUCCCCACACGUCCACCAACCACUGGAACACAUCUCCAAAGUUCUGCUGGACCAGCUCAGCUUCCCCUCAGAAGAAGUUCCUCCAGAUGAAGGAACCUUUUGAGAGGCAGCUGGCAUCGUGAUUGGACUGUACUUUGGUCUGUUCCAAUCCAGCUUCAGCUCCAGAGACGGCAGGCGGGACGAGUCAACGGAGGCCGGAUGGACGAAGGCAUGCAGCUGAGUACAAUCCAGAAAACAACAGAGGAGGAGUGCAGUGGCCCAGGGCCAGAAAAAACAGAGUAGCAUGAUAUGUUUCUUAGAAAACAUCAUAGUCUAGCCUUUGGUAUGAAAAAAGGCCAUCAUAUACAUCGUAUAUUGUACAAAUAACAAGUCAAAGGAAAGAGACAUCAACUGUAGAAUUGUAGUAAUUGUGGGCUGACUGAUUUACUGAUUAUCAGUAUUUUAUUUUUUACUGAUUUAUGGUAAUAAAUACAUUUAAAAAUGG